rnacentral:rRNA from 1 species
UACAGGAGGUGCGAGCGUUAAUCGGAGUAACUAGGGCGUAAAGGGCGCGUAGGCGGUGAUGUGAGUGGUGAUGACUGGAAGCCCCGGGUUAACCUGGGAAGUGCAUCGCAAACGACAUGACUGGAGUAGAUGAGAGGGUGGCGGAAUUUCCGGUGUAGCGGUGAAAUGCGUAGAGAGUCGGAAGGAACGUCGAUGGCGAAGGCAGCCACCUGGACAUCGAUACUGACGCUGAGGCGCGAAAGCGUGGGGAGCGAACAGG